rnacentral:lncRNA from 1 species
CUAGGAUUUGCGAUGAACCUUAUAUUAUGAACCCUUAAUCUUGAAUUUUAUUAAUUUGACGUUAAAACAUGUUUUUAAUUAUUGAAUGAUUGGCAUGGAUUUUAUUUUCUCUACAAUUAUGUGCGCAAUAGUUGUAUGAGCUUUGUGGCUUGUUUUACUCUCGAGAGAUGAAAAAUAAGUUAGACAUUAUGUUAAUUGUCGUAAAGUUC